CCUACGGGAGGCUGCAGUGGGGGAUAUUGCACAAUGGGGGGAACCCUGAUGCAGCGACGCCGCGUGGGUGAAGAAGUAUUUCGGUAUGUAAAGCUCUAUCAGCAGGGAAGAAAAUGACAGGACCUUACCAAGAAGCCCCGGCUAACUACGUGCCAGCAGCCGGGGUAAAACGGAGGGGGAAAGCGUUAGCCGGAUUUACCUGGGGGAAAGGGAGCGUAGACGGGUAUGUAAGUCUGGAGUGAAAGCCCGGGGGCCAACCCCGGGACUGCCUUGGAAACUGUGUAACUGGAGUACAGGAGGGGCAGGCGGAAUUCCUGGUGUAGCGGUGAAAUGCGUAGAUAUCAGGAGGAACACCGGCGGCGAAGGCGGCCUGCUGGACUGAAACUGACGUUGAGGCUCGAAAGCGUGGGGAGCAAACAGGAUUAGAUACCCGGGUAGUC
rnacentral:rRNA from 1 species